rnacentral:rRNA from 1 species
GACGAACGCUGGCGGCGUGCCUAACACAUGCAAGUCGAACGGGGAGUUAGCAAUAACUCCUAGUGGCGAACGGGUGAGUAACGCGUAGACAACCUACCUUCUAGAUGGGGACAACACUGCGAAAGUGGUGCUAAUACCGAAUGUUGUAUCCGGGUUGCAUAAUCUGGAUACUAAAGGUGGCCUCUAUUUAUAAGCUACCGCUAGAAGAUGGGUCUGCGUCUGAUUAGCUAGUUGGUGAGGUAACGGCUCACCAAGGCGACGAUCAGUAGCCGGUCUGAGAGGAUGAACGGCCACACUGGGACUGAGACACGGCCCAGACUCCUACGGGAGGCAGCAGUGGGGAAUCUUCCGCAAUGGACGAAAGUCUGACGGAGCAACGCCGCGUGAGUGAUGAAGGCCUUCGGGUCGUAAAGCUCUGUUAUUAGGGACGAAUGUACCUUAUGUGAAUAAUGUGAGGUAGUGACGGUACCUAAGGAGGAAGCCACGGCUAACUACGUGCCAGCAGCCGCGGUAAUACGUAGGUGGCAAGCGUUGUCCGGAAUUAUUGGGCGUAAAGCGCGCGUAGGUGGGAUCAUAAGUCUUAUGUAAAAGUGCGGGGCUCAACCCCGUAAAGCGUGAGAAACUGUGAUUCUUGAGUGCAGGAGAGGAAAGCGGAAUUCCCAGUGUAGCGGUGAAAUGCGUAGAUAUUGGGAGGAACACCAGUGGCGAAGGCGGCUUUCUGGACUGUGUCUGACACUGAGGCGCGAAAGCUAGGGGAGCGAACGGGAUUAGAUACCCCGGUAGUCCUAGCCGUAAACGAUGGGUACUAGGUGUAGGGGGUAUCGACCCCUCCUGUGCCGGGGUUAACGCAAUAAGUACCCCGCCUGGGGAGUACGGCCGCAAGGUUG